AAGUCGUAACAAGGUCUCCGUAGGUGAACCUGCGGAGGGAUCAUUACACAAUAUGAAGGCGGGCUGGACACCCCCCUGCUGGGCACUGCUUCACGGCGUGCGCGGCUGGGGCCGGCCCUGCUGAAUUAUUCACCCGUGUCUUUUGCGUACUUCUUGUUUCCUGGGUGGGCUCGCCCGCCAUCAGGACCAACCAUAAACCUUUUGCAAUAGCAAUCAGCGUCAGUAACAACGUAAUUAAUUACAACUUUCAACAACGGAUCUCUUGGUUCUG
rnacentral:misc_RNA from 1 species